rnacentral:misc_RNA from 1 species
UACGUAGGGUCCGAGCGUUGUCCGGAAUUAUUGGGCGUAAAGAGCUCGUAGGCGGCUUGGCAAGUCGGGUGUGAAACCUCCAGGCUCAACCUGGAGACGCCACUCGAUACUGCUAUGGCUAGAGUCCGGUAGGGGACCACGGAAUUCCUGGUGUAGCGGUGAAAUGCGCAGAUAUCAGGAGGAACACCGGUGGCGAAGGCGGUGGUCUGGGCCGGCACUGACGCUGAGGCGCGAAAGCGUGGGGAGCAAACAGG